GCGGGUUUAGCUCAGUUGGGAGAGCGUCAGACUGAAGUCAAACUUCACCAUCUAUCUGAAGGUCAUGUGUUCGAUCCACAUAAACCGCA
rnacentral:tRNA from 1 species